AGAUUGAACGCUGGCGGCAUGCCUUACACAUGCAAGUCGAACGGCAGCACGGGAGCAAUCCUGGUGGCGAGUGGCGAACGGGUGAGUAAUACAUCGGAACGUGCCCAAUCGUGGGGGAUAACGCAGCGAAAGCUGUGCUAAUACCGCAUAAGAUCUACGGAUGAAAGCGAGGGAUCGACAAGACCUUGCGCGAAGUGGAGCGGACCGAGUGGCGAGUAGUUAGGUAGGUUGGUAGAAGGUAACGGCUACCACCGAAGUCCUUCGAUCUGGUAG
rnacentral:rRNA from 1 species